rnacentral:piRNA from 1 species
UGAACUGAACAGACGGAGAAGAUGUGCU